rnacentral:rRNA from 1 species
CAGUAGCCGCGGUAAUACAGAGGGUGCGAGCGUUAAUCGGAUUUACUGGGCGUAAAGCGUGCGUAGGCGGCUUCUUAAGUCGGAUGUGAAAUCCCUGAGCUUAACUUAGGAAUUGCAUUCGAUACUGGGAAGCUAGAGUAUGGGAGAGGAUGGUAGAAUUCCAGGUGUAGCGGUGAAAUGCGUAGAGAUCUGGGGAAUACCGAUGGCGAAGGCAGCCAUCUGGCCUAAUACUGACGCUGAGGUACGAAAGCAUGGGGAGCAAACAGGAUUAGAUACCCGGGUAGUCCCUGUCUCUUAUACA